rnacentral:rRNA from 1 species
GACGUAGGGCGCAAGCGUUGUCCGGAAUUAUUGGGCGUAAAGAGCUCGUAGGCGGCUUGUUGCGUCGACUGUGAAAACCCGUGGCUCAACCAUGUGGUCUGCAGUCGAUACGGGCGAGCUAGAGUUCGGCAGGGGAGACUGGAAUUCCUGGUGUAGCGGUGAAAUGCGCAGAUAUCAGGAGGAACACCGGUGGCGAAGGCGGGACUCUGGGCCGAUACUGACGCUGAGGAGCGAAAGCGUGGGGAGCAAACAGG